GGCUGGUCUAAUGGUAGUGGGUUAUUAACAUUAGUGUCACUAAUUAGAACUUAUUAACAUUAGUGUCACUAAAGUUGAUAUACAACCCUCCUCUGCUAAAUUUGACUGGCUUAAA
ensembl:misc_RNA Y_RNA Y RNA